UGACCAACACACCCUCAUACUAUACCCCACCCCCACCCCAAAAAAAUAAUUUGUAUGCUCCCGGUAGGGUGGCAUAUAGCAGUUGAACUGUCCGUCAGUAUGUCAGUCAGUCUGUCCGUCCGGAAAAAAACUUUGACAUUGGCCAUAACUUUUUCACUUUUGAAGAUAGCAACUUGAUAUUUGGCAUACAUGUGUAUCUCAUGGAGCUGCACAUUUUGAGUGGUGAAAGGUCAAGGUCAUCUUUCAAGGUCAAAUGUCAAAUUUAUGUUGUCUGUCCAUCCGAAAACUUAAACAUUGGCCAUAACUUUUUCAAUAUUGAAGAUAGCAACUUGAUAUUUGUGUGUAUCUCAUGGAGCUGAACAUUUUGAGUGGUAAAAGGUGAAGGUCAAGGUCAUCCUUCAAGGUCAAAUGUCAAAUAUAUGGCGUCUGUCAGGCUGAAAACUUUAACAUUGGCCAUUACUUUUUUAAUAUUGAAGAUAGCAACUUGAUAUUUGGCAUGCAUGUGUAUCUCAUGAAGCUGCACAUUUUGAGUGGUGGAAGUUCAAGGUCAAGGUCAUCCUUCAAAGUCAAUUUUUUUUUUAAUUUCAAAGCUGCGUUCUCAUGAAGCUGCACAUUUGAGUGGUGGAAGUUCUAGGUCAAGGUCAUUCUUCAAGGUCAAGGUCAUCCUUCAAGGUCAAAGUUAAAAAAAAUUAAUUCAAAGCGGCGUUAUCAUAAAGCUAUACAUUUUGAGUGGCAAAAGUUCAAGGUAAUCUGUCAAGGUCAUCCUUCAAGGUCAAAGGUAAAAGAAAAUCAAAGCGGCGUUCCCAUGAAGCUGCACAUUUUGAGUGGUGGAAGUUCAAGGUCAAGGUCAUACUUCAAGGUCAAGGUCAUCCUUCAAGGUCAAAGGUACAAAGAAAAAUCAAAGCGGCAUUCUCAUGAAGCUGCACAGUUUGAGUGGUGGAAGUUCAAGGCCAAGGUCAUUUUUCGAGGUCAAGGUCAAAGGUUUAAAAUAAAAUAAUUUCAAAGCGACGUUAUCAUGAAGCUGCACAUUUUGAGUGAUGGAAGAUAAAGGUCAAGGUCAUCCUUCAAGGUAAAAAAAUAAAUUAAAAAAUUCAAAGCGGCGUUCUCAUGAAGCUGCACAUUUUGAGUGGUGGAAGUUCAAGGUCAACGUCAUUCUUUAAGGUCAAGGUCAAAGGUAAAAAAAAUAAUUUCAAAGCGUCGUUAUCAUGAAGCUACAUUUUUUAGUAGUGAAAGUUAAAGGUCAAGGUCAUCCUUCAAGGUCAAAGGUUUAAAAUAAUAUAAUUUCAAAGCGAUGUUAUCAUGAAGCUGCACAUUUUGAGUGUUGGAAGUUAAAGGUCAAGGUCAUCCUUCAAGGUAAAAAAAUCAAUAAAAAAAAUCAAAGCAGCGUUCUCAUGAAGCUGCACAUUUUGAGUGGUGGAAGUUCAAGGUCAACGUCAUUCUUUAAGGUCAAGGUCAAAGGUAAAAAAAAUAAUUUCAAAGCGUCGUUAUCAUGAAGCUACAUUUUUUUAGUAGUGAAAGUUAAAGGUCAAGGUCAUCCUUCAAGGUCAAGGUUAUCCUUCAAGGUCAAAGGUAAAAAAAUAAAUAA